GUACCCUCAAGCUCUGCUUGGUGUUGGGUGUUUGUUCCGCCGCGCGCGCGAACUCGCCUCAAAUGUAUUGGCAGCCGGCAAUCUGGUGUUUGAGCGCAGCACAAUUUGCGCUCUCCACUGUGUUGCGGCGUCCACAAAGCCUAUUUCAAC
rnacentral:misc_RNA from 1 species